rfam:Cochliobolus heterostrophus C5 unplaced genomic scaffold COCHEscaffold_5, whole genome shotgun sequence.
GGCUCAAUGGUCUAGUCGUAUGAUUCCUGCUUUGGGUUCUCAAGCCUAUUCUGCAGGAGGUCCCGGGUUCAAAUCCCGGUUGAGCCC